rnacentral:rRNA from 1 species
CACGUAGGUGGCUUCUUAAGUCGGUGGUGAAAUCCUGGAGCUCAACUCCAGAACUGCCUUCGAUACUGGGAAGCUCGAGUUCGGGAGAGGUGAGUGGAACUGCGAGUGUAGAGGUGAAAUUCGUAGAUAUUCGCAAGAACACCAGUGGCGAAGGCGGCUCACUGGCCCGAUACUGACGCUGAGGUGCGAAAGCGUGGGGAGUAAACAGGAUUAGAUACCCUGGUAGUCCACGCUGUAAACGAUGGAUGCUAGCCGUUGGCGAGCUUGCUCGUCAGUGGCGCAGCUAACGCUUUAAGCAUCCCGCCUGGGGAGUACGGUCGCAAGAUUAAA